AUGAACGCUGGCGGCGUGCCUAAUACCUGCAAGUCGAGCGAACAGACGAGGAGCUUGCUCCUCUGACGUUAGCGGCGGACGGGUGAGUAACACGUGGAUAACCUACCUAUAAGACUGGGAUAACUUCGGGAAACCGGAGCUAAUACUGGAUAAUAUAUUGAACCGCAUGGUUCAAUAGUGAAAGACGGUUUUGCUGUCACUUAUAGAUGGAUCCGCGCCGCAUUAGCUAGUUGGUAAGGUAACGGCUUACCAAGGCAACGAUGCGUAGCCGACCUGAGAGGGUGAUCGGCCACACUGGAACUGAGACACGGUCCAGACUCCUACGGGAGGCAGCAGUAGGGAAUCUUCCGCAAUGGGCGAAAGCCUGACGGAGCAACGCCGCGUGAGUGAUGAAGGUCUUCGGAUCGUAAAACUCUGUUAUUAGGGAAGAACAAAUGUGUAAGUAACUAUGCACGUCUUGACGGUACCUAAUCAGAAAGCCACGGCUAACUACGUG
rnacentral:rRNA from 1 species